GGAGAGCUGUCCGAGUGGUCGAAGGAGCACGAUUGGAAAUCGUGUAAACGUCAAAAGCGUUUCGAGGGUUCAAAUCCCUCGCUCUCCG
rnacentral:tRNA from 1 species